rnacentral:rRNA from 1 species
CCCUUAGAUGUUCUGGGCUGCACGCGUGCUACAAUGGCGCUUGCAACAAGUCUUGCCAACCCGAUAGGGUGAGCGGAUCUUUGAAGAGGCGUCGUGAUCGGGACAGUUGAUUGCAAUUAUUCGACUGGAACGAGGAAUUCCUUGUAAUCGCGAUUCAUCAUAUCGCGCUGAAUACGUCCCUGCCCUUUGUACACACCGCCCGUCGCUCCUACCGAUUGAGCGAUCCGGUGAAUGUUUUGGACUGGCGUCAGAAGCGGUUCGCUCCUGACACUACGAAAUUUUGUAAACCUUAUCGCUUAGAGGAAGGAAAAGUCGUAACA